rnacentral:rRNA from 1 species
AACGUAGGAGACAAACGUUAUCCGGAGUUACUGGGCGUAAAGGGCGUGUAGGUGGUGCUGUAAGUCUGGCGUGAAAUUUUUCGGCUUAACCGGGAAAGGUCGUCGGAUACUGCAGGACUAGAGGACGGUAGAGGCGUGUGGAAUUCCGGGUGUAGUGGUGAAAUGCGUAGAGAUCCGGAGGAACACCAGUGGCGAAGGCGACACGCUGGGCCGUACCUGACGCUAAAGCGCGACAGCAUGGGGAGCAAACGGG